GAAUAUAGUUGGUACACAGGUGUCCAUCCAAUUGUGGUGGGUGAAAAGGGAAGUCGGGUGAGAAUCCCGCACAAAGCCGUUGCUGUGUUGGCGGAGUGCCUCUCUGCUAUGUCACUGGGAUGUUUGUUCCGGGAAGACGGAGAGGUGCGUUUGAACGUCUGAGUCAGAAGACCUGCCUGUGUAUAACGCACAAAA
rnacentral:ncRNA from 22 species